AUGAUUGUUUUGUUUUGAGUGUGAAUUUCACGUUCUUGGUUGUCUUGUACGUUGUAUAUAUGGGUGAUUGUGAUUGGUUUGUUCUUGUGUAUCGUGUAAUCUGUAAUGUGUGAAUAGAAGAGACUGUCCUUACUGAAAAGUUUGUUUAUUCAUACCUACUACCUAUAUUCGCAGGCUAGCAUUAGAAGAUUCCGCUUUGUUUGGUGC